rnacentral:rRNA from 1 species
AUUGAACGCUGGCGGCAUGCCUUACACAUGCAAGUCGAACGGCAGCACGGGAGCAAUCCUGGUGGCGAGUGGCGAACGGGUGAGUAAUAUAUCGGAACGUGCCCAGUCGUGGGGGAUAACGUAGCGAAAGCUACGCUAAUACCGCAUACGAUCUACGGAUGAAAGCGGGGGAUCGCAAGACCUCGCGCGAUUGGAGCGGCCGAUAUCAGAUUAGCUAGUUGGUGGGGUAAAAGCUCACCAAGGCGACGAUCUGUAGCUGGUCUGAGAGGACGACCAGCCACACUGGAACUGAGACACGGUCCAGACUCCUACGGGAGGCAGCAGUGGGGAAUUUUGGACAAUGGGCGCAAGCCUGAUCCAGCAAUGCCGCGUGCAGGAUGAAGGCCUUCGGGUUGUAAACUGCUUUGUACGGUAACGAAACGGUAGAGCUCUAAUAAAGACUUGCUAAUGACGGUACCGUAAGAAUAAGACACCGGCUAACUACGUGCC